rnacentral:rRNA from 1 species
UUGACCUCGGAUCAGGUAGGGAUACCCGCUGAACUUAAGCAUAUCAAUAAGCGGAGGGGGCUAGAGCGGCC